UACGUAGGGUGCGAGCGUUGUCCGGAAUUACUGGGCGUAAAGAGCUCGUAGGUGGUUUGUCGCGUUGUCCGUGAAAACUCACAGCUUAACUGUGGGCGUGCGGGCGAUACGGGCAGACUGGAGUACUGCAGGGGAGACUGGAAUUCCUGGUGUAGCGGUGAAAUGCGCAGAGUAUCAGGAGGAACACCGAUGGCGAAGGCAGGUCUCUGGGCAUUAACUGACGCUGGAGGGAAGCGGAAAGCA
rnacentral:rRNA from 1 species